AUGAGGGUAAAACAAGUCUAUGAAUUGUUAGAUAGUUGAGGAAAAGUCCUCUUGCAGUCCAAAGACCAGAUUAUAGCAGGAAAUGCAACGAGAAAGAAUCACCUGGAAGGAAAAGCUGCAAUCUCAAAUAAAACUACCAACUGUAUCUUUCAGUUGUUACAGAAAGCAGGCAUCAAAACUGCUUUCAUCAGAAAAUGUGGGGAAACAGCUUUUACUGUGCCCCAGUGUGAAAUGAUUCCAACUGAAUGAGUUUGUAGGAAAACAGUAAAUGGUUCUUUUCUCAGAAGAAAUCCGGUGGUAAAGUUUUAUCCACUUAAAGUAGAGAAGCUUUUCAAGGAUAUACCAAUAAUGACUCACAGUGGUCUGAGGAACAGCUCAUCGCUGCAAAAUUUUGUUUUGCUGGACUUGCUAUAGGCCAAACUGAAGUGGAUAUUAUGAAUCAUGGUACACAGGCUAUUUUUGAAAUACUGGAGAAAUCCUGGUUGCCCCAGAACUGUACAUUGGUUGAUAUGAAGAUUGAAUUCGGUGUUGUUGUAACCACCAAAGAAAUUGUUCUUGCUGAUGUGAUUAAUAACAAUUCCUGGAGACUCUGGCCAUCAGGAGAUCAAAGCCAACAGAAAGACAAACAGUCUUACUGGGUCUCAAAGAACUAACUCCCAAAGGGCUGCAGAUGGUAAGAAAAACUUUGAGUGGGCUGCAGAGGGAGUACAGUUGCUUUUGAAAUCAGAAAGCCAGUGCAGGGUUGUGGUAUUGAUGGGUUCUACUCUGAUGUCAGUCACUGAAAAAAUCAAGAAGGCCUUUGGGAAUUUUGGCUUUCCAUGUGAACUUUGGACCAGACAAAACUCUGAGGAUUAAAGCUGAGUAUGAAGGUGAUGGCAUUCCUACUGUAUUUGUGGCAGAAGCAGUGGUUUGGGACCAGUGAUGUCUGGGAACACUGCAUAUCUAAUUAUCAGCUGUCCCCCCAUUAACCAGAUUGUGGAGCUCAGGAUGUGUGGUCUUCUCUUUGAAGCUCAGUGGUCUCAACUGUUCAACCGUACUUUCUCCAGAAGGAUCAACUCAGUUUGCUGCUCAGAUAUUUGGAUUAAACAACCAUUUGGUAUGGGGCAAACUGCAAGCAAGCAUUAUGAACACAUGGAUUUCCUUGAAGCAAGCUGAAAAGAAAAUCAGAGAAAGUAGUUUAUAA